rnacentral:tRNA from 4 species
GGAGAGAUGCUCGAGUGGCUGAAGAGGCACGCCUGGAAAGCGUGUAUACGCCUAAAGCGUAUCGGGGGUUCGAAUCCCCCUCUCUCCGCUA